UCCAAAAACAAACCCUGGUUUCCGUGUCCAACGUUUGACCGUCCGUCUUAUUUGAAAAAAAUAUGAAAAAAAUUAAAAAAAUAAAUCACGCAUAAAGUAUUAAUCAUGUUUUAUCAUCUAACAACAAUGAAAAUACUUAUUAUAACAAAAUUUCAUAUAAGACGAACAGUCAAACGUUGGCACGGAAACCCAGGUUUUACCUUUUU
rnacentral:pre_miRNA from 1 species